ensembl:snRNA U4 U4 spliceosomal RNA
AGCUUUGCGCAGUGGCAGUAUCGUAGCCAAUGAGGUUUAUCCGAGGUGCGAUUAUUGCUAAUUGAAAACUUUUCAUUCUUCUCCACCUCUACCAGAAGUCCUAAGGAGACCUCUUCAGGGG